UACAGAGGGUGCAAGCGUUGUCCGGAAUCAUUGGGCGUAAAGCGCGCGUAGGUGGCUUCGUAAGUCCGUUGUGAAAGUCAAAGGCUCAACCUUUGAAUGCCGAUGGAUACUGCGGAGCUAGAGUACGGAAGAGGCGAGUGGAAUUCCUGGUGUAGCGGUGGAAUGCGCAGAUAUCAGGAGGAACACCAAUAGCGAAGGCAGCUCGCUGGGACGUUACUGACACUAAGGCGCGAAAGCGUGGGGAGCGAACAGG
rnacentral:rRNA from 1 species